rnacentral:rRNA from 1 species
UACGUAGGGUGCAAGCGUUGUCCGGAAUUACUUGGCGUAAGGAGCUCGUAGGUGGUUUGUCGCGUCGUCUGUGAAAUCCCGGGGCUUAACUUCGGGCGUGCAGGCGAUACGGGCAUAACUUGAGUGCUGUAGGGGAGACUGGAAUUCCUGGUGUAGCGGUGAAAUGCGCAGAUAUCAGGAGGAACACCGAUGGCGAAGGCAGGUCUCUGGGCAGUUACUGACGCUGAGGAGCGAAAGCAUGGGUAGCGAACAGGAUUAGA